AUGGAGACAGAGUCUUGGGGAAGCCCUGCUGUGGCUGAGCUUGGCUUCUCAGGAAAAGGGCUGAUGAGGAAACUGAGAUCCAAGCAGUUACCUGACCUGUCCAAGUGAUCACACUAGCAUGUGGAAGAGGCAAAUUAAAACCUAGGUCCUCAGACACCUAAUCUAGAAUUCUUUCCCCUACAUCAUUUAGCAAUACAGAAGAUUGGGAAAUAUUUUAGAUGCUUUGGGAUAAACAUUUGAAUUUAGAAAGUGUAAAAUUAUGUCACUCUGUGUUUCUCCAAUCCAAUUCUCAUAAAAAUGCAUGCUCUC
rnacentral:lncRNA from 1 species